rnacentral:antisense_RNA from 1 species
AAAAAUUCACACUGCAGUAUGUACAGUUUCAUGACAUCAUAUGAAGAAAUUAAAUUUCUAAUAAAAAUGGCAAAUUAUAUUACUGAGCAGAUCGCAUCAAACUUGGUUGUAAACACCAGAAUUCUUACUAUGAAUGGUAAUGUGCCUAUAUUCCAGUAUUGCUAAUACUGCGAUACUCUUGGAAUAAUAUUUGCAAUGGGAUUACAAAAUUCAUGAAAGUAGUUGUGUGAAUUCUUUACGUUUAAAAGUGGCUGAUGAUUAAAAAAAUUCUUUAAUAAGACCCUUGGAUUCAAAGCACAUUCUUUCACAAAGCUUAAACCACAGACGUCAUGUCCAGAAAUGGAAUACUGUCAUGUUGCGAUGAACAUCUGAUCUGAUUUGUUAAGACAUUUUGCCAAAUGCACAGAUGCACAGGGUUUAAAGAAAUAUAUAUUGAAAAGGAGCAGGGUGGGACAGACAUAUUGGGAACCACAAAACCUCUUCCAAGAGUUAAAAAUAAACAUUUUUUUUUCUUUUUAGCAAAAGUGAAAAAUGUAAGCAUAUAUUUUUCUAAUUUAUUUU